CUGCAGACUCACUGGUGGCUGACGAGGCCAAAGCGUAACCAGCAGAUCCAGACUCAGGAGUUGCAAGGGAAAAUUUGGUCUGACUUUGAUGCCACAAUGUCAGGGUCUUUUCUCCUUGUGCCUCUCUUUAAAUGUUUGCUCCAGAAUCUCUUGUACAGUCUGCCGAAAGCUCUAUUUGAGUUUGCCAGUCUCUUUGUCGAUCUUGGCAUCUGAAGAGAUGAUGCACCCAAGGUAGCUGAAUUGAUAGACUGUCUUAAGCUCUGAUGUACCUAUGGUGAUGUUGGGGUGAUGGUAGAGGACUUCUGUCUUCUUCAGGCUGUCUUCUAAUCCAAAGAGCUCGGCACCCUCUGUGAAGCAGGAUGUUAUUCAUAGUUACAUAUGUUGAAAAGAGACGUAUCUAUCAAGUUC